CUUGAGUUUGUGUAGCUGCUGUAAAUAUGGACAAACAUGAAUAUGCAGGCAUUAGGUGGGCAUGCAAUGAGUAUGUUGAUGCCCAUAAAGAAUCUACAUUACAUUA
rnacentral:snoRNA from 2 species